AAAACAUUGUUUGCAGGCUCAUAUGCUGAUGACAUGGAGCACGACAAAGUGGAAGACUCAAGUGACAGUACCUAUAUCAACCAUGAUCCAUUGGACUAUGUGUACUCAAACCUACCAGACAACACAUACAACCUGAAGCACGCCGCAAACUGCGACCACUGCAAGGCCAAAAAUUUGAGUGAGGCCUCGGGAUUAUGCCGUCGCAAUGGGAAGAUCGAGCUAAAGGCACCGGAGCCCAUCCCAGAGCUAAUGAUGCUUUGGUCCAGCACAUAUGAGAACUCUAGGCAUUUUUGGGAGAACAUACGGUUCUUCAACGGUCACUUCUCCUUCACAAUCCUCGGUGCCAGCCUCGAUGAAAACUACACAAACAUGAAGUCUGGGGUGUACACGUUCCGGGCGCACGACACCAUAUACCACAACGUUCAUUCAUUUGGGCCAACAACUCGUCCGGAGCAUCUACAGUUGUACUUCUACGACGACGACCCAGGCCUAACCCAUCGCAAGGUUGCCACCAAGCAAUUAAACCAGAAUGUUGUCAGAAAGUUAGUGGACAUACUCAGGGAAAACCCAUACUCCCAGCUAUUAAGGAGUUUGGGUGCACAGAGGGACAACCUCGACGAUUACAGGAUAGACCUCAACACGGACCAGAGACUAGACCAAUAG
rnacentral:rRNA from 1 species